UACGUAGGCAGCGAGCGUUGUUCGGAAUUACUGGGCGUAAAGAGUGUGUAGGCGGUGCUCUAAGUUCGGUGUGAAAUCUCCUGGCUUAACUGGGAGGGUGCGCUGGAAACUGGAGUGCUCGAGCGUGGGAGAGGAAAGCGGAAUUCCUGGUGUAGCGGUGAAAUGCGUAGAUAUCAGGAGGAACACCUGCGGUGUAGACGGCUUUCUGGACCAUUGCUGACGCUGAGACACGAAAGCGUGGGUAGCAAACAGG
rnacentral:rRNA from 1 species